AUGGAGUGCGAGAACGGGCACGUUGCCGCCAACGGCGAUGGCCUGUGCGUGGCACAGCCGGCGCGGGCCGACCCGCUCAACUGGGGGAAGGCCGCGGAGGAGCUGUCCGGAAGCCACUUGGAUGCGGUGAAGCGGAUGGUCGAGGAGUACCGUAAGCCGGUGGUGACCAUGGAGGGCGCCAGCCUGACCAUUGCCAUGGUCGCCGCGGUGGCUGCCGGCAGCGACACCAGGGUGGAGCUCGACGAGUCCGCUCGCGGCCGCGUCAAGGAGAGCAGCGACUGGGUCAUGAACAGCAUGAUGAACGGCACCGACAGCUACGGUGUCACCACCGGCUUCGGCGCCACUUCUCACCGGAGGACCAAGGAGGGCGGCGCUCUCCAGAGGGAGCUCAUUAGAUUCCUUAACGCUGGAGCCUUCGGCAACGGCAACGACGGCCACGUUCUGCCUGCUGCGGCGACGAGGGCAGCCAUGCUCGUGCGUGUCAACACCCUGCUUCAGGGAUAUUCUGGCAUCCGCUUCGAGAUCCUCGAGACGAUCGCCACGCUUCUCAACGCCAACGUGACACCUUGCCUACCGCUUAGGGGCACCAUCACCGCGUCCGGUGACCUCGUCCCGCUUUCCUAUAUUGCGGGACUGGUAACCGGCCGCCCAAACUCCAUGGCCACGGCUCCAGAUGGCACGAAGGUUAACGCGGCAGAGGCAUUUAAGAUUGCCGGCAUCCAACAUGGCUUCUUCGAGCUGCAGCCCAAGGAAGGCCUUGCCAUGGUGAACGGCACGGCAGUGGGCUCAGGGCUUGCAUCCAUGGUCCUUUUCGAGGCUAACAUCCUUAGCCUUCUUGCCGAGGUCCUGUCGGCCGUCUUCUGUGAGGUCAUGAACGGCAAGCCAGAGUACACUGACCACUUGACCCAUAAGUUGAAGCACCACCCUGGGCAGAUCGAGGCAGCCGCCAUCAUGGAGCACAUACUUGAAGGCAGCUCCUACAUGAUGCUUGCUAAGAAGCUCGGCGAGCUCGACCCAUUGAUGAAGCCAAAGCAAGAUAGGUAUGCACUCCGCACGUCACCGCAGUGGCUUGGUCCUCAGAUUGAGGUCAUUCGUGCUGCCACGAAGUCUAUUGAGCGAGAGAUCAACUCCGUCAACGACAACCCACUCAUCGACGUCUCCCGUGGCAAGGCUAUUCAUGGUGGAAACUUCCAGGGCACACCAAUCGGUGUGUCUAUGGACAACACCAGGCUUGCCAUUGCCGCGAUUGGCAAGCUCAUGUUUGCCCAAUUCUCAGAGUUGGUGAACGACUUCUACAACAACGGUCUUCCUUCCAACCUCUCCGGUGGGCGCAACCCAAGCUUGGACUAUGGCUUCAAGGGUGCCGAGAUUGCCAUGGCCUCGUACUGCUCCGAGCUCCAGUUCUUGGGCAACCCUGUGACCAACCAUGUCCAGAGCGCAGAGCAGCACAACCAAGAUGUCAACUCUCUUGGCCUCAUCUCCUCAAGGAAGACUGCCGAGGCCAUUGACAUACUGAAGCUUAUGUCCUCAACAUUCUUGGUCGCGUUGUGCCAAGCUAUCGACCUCCGCCACCUAGAGGAGAAUGUCAAGAAUGCCGUGAAGAGUUGUGUGAAGACUGUAGCUAGGAAGACACUGAGCACCAACAACAAUGGUCAUCUCCACAAUGCACGCUUCUGUGAGAAGGACUUGCUGCUCACAAUCGACCGUGAGGCGGUGUUUGCUUACGCAGAUGACCCUUGCAGCGCCAACUACCCACUGAUGCAGAAGAUGCGUGCAGUCCUCGUGGAGCAUGCCUUGGCCAAUGGUGAGGCUGAGCGCGAUGUGGAGACAUCGGUGUUUGCUAAACUUGCCAUAUUUGAACAGGAGCUCCGUGCAGUGCUUCCAAAGGAGGUCGAGGCUGCCCGAGGUGCCGUAGAGAAUGGUACUGCUACACAACAAAACCGUAUCGCUGAGUGUCGAUCAUACCCUCUCUACCGGUUUGUGCGCAAGGAGCUUGGAACUGAGUACUUGACCGGGGAGAAGACUAGGUCUCCCGGCGAAGAGGUGGACAAGGUGUUCGUUGCUAUGAACCAGGGCAAGCACAUUGACGCACUACUUGAGUGUCUCAAGGGGUGGAACGGUGAGCCCCUACCUAUCUGCUGA
rnacentral:rRNA from 1 species